rnacentral:rRNA from 1 species
GAUGAACGCUGGCGGCGUGCUUAACACAUGCAAGUCGAACGGAGUUCCUUGGAUAGAGGCUUCGGCCAAUUGAAUUGGAACUUAGUGGCGGACUGGUGAGUAACGCGUGAGGAACCUGCCUUUCAGAGGGGGACAACAGCUGGAAACGGCUGCUAAUACCGCAUGACACAUUUGGGUGGCAUCACUUGAAUGUCAAAGGUUUUAUCGCUGAAAGAUGGCCUCGCGUCUGAUUAGCUAGUUGGUGAGGUAACGGCCCACAAAGGCGACCAUCAGGAGGGAACUUGGGAGAGUGAACGGCCACAAUGGGACUGAGACACGGGCCAAACGCCUACGGGAGGCAGCAGUGGGGAAUAUUGCACAAUGGGGGAAACCCUGAUGCAGCGACGCCGCGUGAGCGAUGAAGUAUUUCGGUAUGGAAAGCUCUAUCAGCAAGGAAGAUAAUGACGGUACUUGACUAAGAAGCCCCGGCUAACUACGUGCCAGCAGCCGCCGUAAAAC